GCAAACUUGGUCAUUUAGAGGAAGUAAAAGUCGUAACAAGGUUUCCGUAGGUGAACCUGCGGAAGGAUCAUUACUAGUUUAGGGUACUGAGUGCCCAAACUUCAACCCUAUGAUUUACCAACUUUGUUUCUUUGCCGGUUUCACCACCGGCAGAAGGAUUCUCAAACUCAAUUGAUAAAGCUGCAGUCUGAAUAUUUGAUUAAAAAUCAAAAGCAAAACUUUCAACAACGGAUCUCUUGGUUCUGGCAUCGAUGAAGAACGCAGC
rnacentral:misc_RNA from 1 species